rnacentral:tRNA from 3 species
GGGAGCAUGGUGUAACCCGGCAUCAUUACGGGCUCCAGACCCGUCGAUCUGGGUUCAAAUCCCAGUGCUCCCA